CCGUACGCCGUUUACAUUGUUACUCACGAAACAGAGCUCUGGAUCCAUCUCAAUAAGCUCGAGCAAGAAUCGAUCCAUUGAGAUUGCGAAGAAAGAAACUUCAUAAUCUGAAAAGGUGGGAUGGAAACGGAUCUCAGGGUAUUUGGAUCCGGUUAAGUAUAUAACAAAAUGUUUAUGCAGAUAUCAUUUACUCUCUCUCUUUCUUGAUUUAUCUUUUCUUGAGAAGUUGCUGAAGAUUGUUUUAUGAGAGUAUUAUAAGUCACCGCAUUUGGUAAUCAAGUGUUGCUUUCCCAAACGAAGUGACUUAUAAUGAUCUCAUGAUUAAUCGAUUUUUUGCAAGGUCUUGAAGAGAGUAAAGGACCAUGAUGUCCUGAGUGAAAAUGGAUUUUUCUUUCUUUUUUUUUGUCUUAUAAUGUGCCAGGUCUCUUUGUGUGUUACUGUCCACUCUUUCUUUUUGUCUGGGUGAUAACAAGAUAAAUCCCAAGCAUCAUCCACCUUAUUAGCUUUGACAUGAAUGAAGGCUUGUAAAAUGGAUGAUUCUUGGGAUUUAUCUUUUUGUAGUCUCCUCUUUUAAAAGAGUAAUGUUACAACAUACACGGCGAUGGUUUCAAAUUCUAAAGUGUUGCUUAAUGUUACAACAUACACGACAAUGAUUUCAGGCUUGCGGAGGAACAUGAUGCUUCUGUUUAUCGAUUUGUACGCCAGAAACUUGAUAUUUGCUAAAGAAGUGUUAACCGUUUGCAUGUGUUAUAACUGAGUGUUUACACCCACUUUAUGUAUAAAUGGAAUAAGGUUGCUUUCCCCCAUCAGAUUAAAGACCAAGUGAUCAAGAUUUUAUCUUUUUGUUUCUUAGUUUGAACUUUUUAUGUUAUCGUAAUGUAUUGAUCAAUGUGAUAUAAAAUAGAUAACAAUGUUGUGCCAAACAAAA